UCCCUGAUGGUCUAGUGGUUAGGAUUUGGCGCUUUCACCGCCACGGUCCCGGUUCGAUUCCAGGUCAGGAAA